GAAGCUUGCUUCUUUGCUGACGAGUGGCGGACGGGUGAGUAAUGUCUGGGAAACUGCCUGAUGGAGGGGGAUAACUACUGGAAACGGUAGCUAAUACCGCAUAACGCCGCAAGACCAAAGAGGGGGACCUUCGGGCCUCUUGCCAUCGGAUGUGCCCAGAUGGGAUUAGCUAGUAGGUGGGGUAACGGCUCACCUAGGCGACGAUCCCUAGCUGGUCUGAGAGGAUGACCAGCCACACUGGAACUGAGACACGGUCCAGACUCCUACGGGAGGCAGCAGUGGGGAAUAUUGCACAAUGGGCGCAAGCCUGAUGCAGCCAUGCCGCGUGUAUGAAGAAGGCCUUCGGGUUGUAAAGUACUUUCAGCGGGGAGGAAGGGAGUAAAGUUAAUACCUUUGCUCAUUGACGUUACCCGCAGAAGAAGCACCGGCUAACUCCGUGCCAACAGCCGCGGUAAUACGGAGGGUGCAAGCGUUAAUCGGAAUUGCUGGGCGUAAAGCGCACGCAGGCGGUUUGUUAAGUCAGAUGUGAAAUCCCCGGGCUCAACCUGGGAACUGCAUCUGAUACUGGCAAGCUUGAGUCUCGUAGAGGGGGGUAGAAUUCCAGGUGUAGCGGUGAAAUGCGUAGAGAUCUGGAGGAAUACCGGCGGCGAAGGCGGCCCACUGGACGAAGACUGACGCUCAGGUGCGAAAGCGUGGGGAGCAAACAGGAUUAGAUA
rnacentral:rRNA from 1 species